UACGUAGGGUGCAAGCGUUGUCCGGAAUUAUUGGGCGUAAAGAGCUCGUAGGCGGUUUGUUGCGUCGGCUGUGAAAUCCCGAGGCUCAACCUCGGGUCUGCAGUCGAUACGAGCAAACUAGAGUGUUGCAGGGGAGACUGGAAUUCCUGGUGUAGCGGUGAAAUGCGCAGAUAUCAGGAGGAACACCGGUGGCGAAGGCGGGUCUCUGGGCCGAUACUGA
rnacentral:rRNA from 1 species